UUUAGUGCGUACGAGUGUAUUAUAUAGUGUCUUCAGAGCAUCUUCAGAUUUCAGCUCUCUUGAAUUCCUAAAAAUAAAGCCUAAGAGCUUUAACGCCUCAGAACAAAUGGUGGUAAUGUGGGUAUUAAAGUUCAGUUUAGAAUCAAACGUUACGCCAAGGUCCUUAAUCAUCACACAACGUUUAAGCGAACAAUUAUUUAUAACAUAAUUAUGCAAUUGCGUAACCUGCUUACGAGAGAACGACAUCACACUACACUUAUCCACAUUAAGAUUUAAUUUGUUAGACAGCGACCAAUUGACGAGGCACAAUCACCAAGGGAUGAAAGUAUAUCAUUACAAAAUAUAAUAAACAAGAGUGGGCCGAGGUUUGACCCCUGUGGCACUCCCGAGGACACUUUGUAAUAAUCCGAUUUGAAGUUCUUAUAACAUACACAUUGACGACGAUCAGUAAGCUUAUUUAUGAGUAACCUAUGACAAACGUUGUCAAACGCCUUGGAGAAGUCGGUGUAAAUGACGCCCACUUGAGAUACAGAACCAAAAGCAUCCAUUAUGAACUCAGUGAAGCAAGUCAAGUUGGUUACAGUCGAGCGACCCUGAAGAAAUCCAUGCUGGUUGCUUGAGAAAUAAUCUUUACAUUGACCAAACAAGAUGUUAUAUACACAUGACUCGAGUACUUUAGCAAAGUUACUGAGUAUAGAGAUAGGUCUAUAGUUUUGAAUCACUGAUUUAUCACCCUUUUUAAAAAUUGGUAGCACCUGCGCCGUUUUCCAUCUGGUGGGAAAUACAUGGGACGAUAUGGAUAAAUUAAAAAUGCGCGCCAGAGGCUGCGCUAGGCAAUAUUUGCAGUCCCUCACUAGGAAGCUCGGAAUGCUAUCUUCACCACUUAUGAAAGUUGUCGGGAGUUUACCACACACAGUUAAAACAUCCUCUACAGUUAUCCAUUCAGAGAGAAAAAUUUUAUCACCUUUA